rnacentral:tRNA from 1 species
GAUCCACUGCUCAGUUGGUAAAGCACAAAGCUCUCAACCUUGUGGACGUGGGUUCAUGCCCCAUGGGGGUUA